ACUCAAAGGAAUUGACGGGGGCCCGCACAAGCGGUGGAGCAUGUGGUUUAAUUCGACGCAACGCGAAGAACCUUACCCAGGCUUGAACUGCAGGUGACAUUCUACGAAAGUAGACUUCCGCAAGGACACCUGUAGAGGUGCUGCAUGGCUGUCGUCAGCUCGUGUCGUGAGAUGUUGGGUUAAGUCCCGCAACGAGCGCAACCCUUGUCUUCUGUUGCCAUCAGGUUAAGCUGGGCACUCUGAAGAGACUGCCGGUGACAAACCGGAGGAAGGUGGGGAUGACGUCAAGUCAGCAUGGCCUUUAUGUCUGGGGCCACACACGUGCUACAAUGGCCAGUACAAACCGUCGCGAGCCCGCGAGGGGGAGCUAAUCGGAUAAAGCUGGUCUCAGUUCGGAUUGUAGGCUGCAACUCGCCUGCAUGAAGUUGGAAUCGCUAGUAAUCGCGGAUCAGCACGCCGCGGUGAAUACGUUCCCGGGCCUUGUACACACCGCCCGU
rnacentral:rRNA from 1 species